rnacentral:rRNA from 1 species
GACGAACGCUGGCGGCGUGCUUAACACAUGCAAGUCGAACGGUGAACGAGGGAGCUUGCUCCCUCCGGAUCAGUGGCGAACGGGUGAGUAACACGUGAGCAAUCUGCCCCGAACUCUGGGAUAAGCGUUGGAAACGACGUCAAAUACCGGAUACGACGCGGGAGGGCAUCCUCUCCGCGUGGAAAGAACUUCGGUUCGGGAUGAGCUCGCGGCCUAUCAGCUUGUUGGUGAGGUAACGGCUCACCAAGGCGACGACGGGUAGCCGGCCUGAGAGGGUGACCGGCCACACUGGGACUGAGACACGGCCCAGACUCCUACGGGAGGCAGCAGUGGGGAAUAUUGCACAAUGGGCGCAAGCCUGAUGCAGCAACGCCGCGUGAGGGACGACGGCCUUCGGGUUGUAAACCUCUUUUAGCAGGGAAGAAGCGAAAGUGACGGUACCUGCAGAAAAAGCACCGGCUAACUACGUG